rnacentral:lncRNA from 1 species
UCAAAAAUAUCUUUGGAUAUAAACUAAGUGCUAGAUCAGAUAAAUGUAGGUUUGUAGGAUGUCAUAAGAAAACUAAAAGAUACUACUUCUACCACCCUACUGAACAAAAGAUAUUUGUUUGUAAGCAUGCGACUUUUUUUAAAAAAAAAAUCAUCCAAGAAGAAGAAAAUGGGAGGAAUAUUGAACUUGAAAAAGUUUAGGACCUACAAAUUAAUUUAGAAAUACCUAUGGUUGGACUACAAGAAGAUCCUCAACCAGAAGUACCCAA